rnacentral:lncRNA from 1 species
UGGUUCCAAAUUGUUGCACGAAUAGUCCUUAUGACAUACUCCGUUUAAUUGUUGCCGUUUAUCUAAAUCACGUGACCCUCACACGAGGGUAUUUUCGUCAUUUGCUUUGUUACACGAAAUGAUCAUAUACAUAAAUGAUCCUUACAUCCAGCUGCCAUUUACGUUGCCCCAAGAAAUCGUCCCUUUCUUUUCUCCUCUGGUUUAUCAUCUUCGUCACUGCAAAACAUCAAACGGAAACUAGGGUUUUCAUCUUCAUCAUUUGCGAUGGUUCUAACUUUGUGGCAUGUCCGUUCAAAAUUCUCAGAAAAUCCUGACCUGAUCAAAGCUUAUGGUGAGUGAUCAGUUAACAACUUCCAAUUUUGUUAAGUAAUUUAUGCACAUUCAAUUUUGAGACUUCAUUCUUUCCUCAUAUCAUUAUUUAUUUGUUUUUCAGUUGAGUUAAGUAGUUUUUGCACAUUCAAGAUUCACCAUGGGGGUAUGUUCACAAAAUACCCAGGAAGACGUUACGUUGGUGGGAGUAUUAACUAUGUUGACUACGUAGACAUGGAUGUGUUCU